GCCGCACCUAGCCCGACGGGGCGAAUAGCCGGACACUUCACCGGCGUGGUGCGGCUCCUAUUUGAAGGG
rnacentral:sRNA from 1 species